GGAGACUGCCGGUGACAAACCGGAGGGAAGGUGGGGAUGAACGUCAAGUCAUCAUGGCCCUUACGGCCUGGGCUACACACGUGCUACAAUGGGUCGGUACAAAGGGUUGCCAAGCCGCGAGGUGGAGCUAAUCCCAAUAAAACCGAUCGUAGUCCGGAUCGCAGUCUGCAACUCGACUGCGUGAAGUCGGAAUCGCUAGUAAUCGUGAAUCAGAAUGUCACGGUGAAUACGUUCCCGGGCCUU
rnacentral:rRNA from 1 species